CCCGCUGAACUUAAGCAUAUCAGUAAGCGGAGGAAAAGAAACUAACAAGGAUUCCCCUAGUAACGGCGAGUGAAGCGGGAAAAGCUCAAAUUUGAAAACCAACAGUAGUAAUGUUGGAGUUGUAUUUGAGAGGAAAUGUGCAAGUGGCGAGCAAUCACAGCCAGGUCUUUUGGAAAGAAGCACCACAGAGGGUGAGAGUCCCGUGGGCGGUGAAUGUUAGUCAUGAUUAGUGCACAAUUCUGACGAGUCGGAUUGUUUGGGAAUGCAGUCCUAAAUGGGUGAUACGUGUCAUCUAAAGCUAAAUAGAGGCAAGAGACCGAUAGCAAACAAGUACCGUGAGGGAAAGAUGAAAAGCACUUUGAAAAGAGAGUCAAAAGUACGUGAAAUUGUGGAGAGGGAAACGCUGAUCAACAUGCGAGAGAGGGAUGUGGCCAUUGGAGAGUGUGAAAACAUUUUCCAUUCCGUGGUACAUUACUCUGAUGAGGCUUGGUUGGGUAGCAUGAAAAGCGCACGUGGAAGGUGGCUUUGGUCUUUUAGAUCAACGGCUUUAUAGACACGGGUGGUGAAUGCAGCUUGGCCAAGAGCAACAAUAGUUGUAUAACUUUAGUAUAUCAUCAUGCAUUUGAUCAUCGACCCGUCUUGAAACACGG
rnacentral:rRNA from 1 species